rnacentral:rRNA from 1 species
UCAGGAUGAACGCUAGCUACAGGCUUAACACAUGCAAGUCGAGGGGCAGCAUGGUCUUAGCUUGCUAAGGCCGAUGGCGACCGGCGCACGGGUGAGUAACACGUAUCCAACCUGGCCGUCUACUCUUGGACAGCCUUCUGAAAGGAAGAUUAAUACAAGAUGGCAUCAUGAGUCCGCAUGUUCACAUGAUUAAAGGUAUUCCGGUAGACGAUGGGGGAUGCGUUCCAUUAGAUAGUAGGCGGGGUAACGGCCCACCUAGUCUUCGAUGGAUAGGGGGUUCUGAGAGGAAGGUCCCCCACAUUGGAACUGAGACACGGUCCAAACUCCUACGGGAGGCAGCAGUGAGGAAUAUUGGUCAAUGGGCGAGAGCCUGAACCAGCCAAGUAGCGUGAAGGAUGACUGCCCUAUGGGUUGUAAACUUCUUUUAUAAAGGAAUAAAGUCGGGUAUGGAUACCCGUUUGCAUGUACUUUAUGAAUAAGGAUCGGCUAACUCCGUG